rnacentral:piRNA from 1 species
UACAGACUGGGGAUGUCAUCUACUUGGUGUA